GUUUUUUUUGGAGCGAACGUUACAUGUUUGCAUGUUCCAAAGCAAACGUCAGAAAUCAAGUUUUAUCUAUAGAGGUUUACUAGCGAGGAUUUUCAUCCUUGAGGCCAUCCUCCAUUUGAAAUGGUCUCAUAUUCCAUUGCCUUGGGUAGUGGCAUCACUGCAUUGAAACUUUGGCACUGGCCAUGAGACAUAUAUUUUCUUCUUUUAAUACUUAUGAUGAUUCCAUGCUAAGUUUAGGUGCUUUGGAAUACUUGAUUGUUUAAGUCUUCUAUUGAUUUCUACUGUCUAUUCUUCUGCCUUUUCUCUUGUUAUUAACUGUUGAACUGGCCUGGCUCUACCUUUUUUGUUAUUAACUGUUGAAAUGACAUGCUCUACCUUUUUUGUUAUAAAUUGUUGAACUGACUUGGCUCUACCUAUUUUGAUAUUAAAUGUUGAACUGACCUGGGUUGCUGCCUUUCAUUUGCAGAUAAUGCUGGAGUGAUUGUGAAUCCCAAGGGUGAUAUGAAAGGUUUCGCUAUCACUGGACCUAUCGACAAGGAGUGUGCUGAUCUUUGGCCUAGGAUUGCUAGCGCAGCAAACACCAUCGUUUGAGAGCUUGUUGGAAUAUGUUCAGACUUC